rnacentral:rRNA from 1 species
AGGACGAACGCUGGCGGCGCGCUUAAUACAUGCAAGUCGAGCGAGAACCAGGGCUUCGGCUCUGGGGACAGCGGCGAACGGGUGAGUAACACGUGGGUAAUCAACCCCCGACACCGGGAUAGCCCAGGGAAACUUGGAUUAAUACCGGAUGCUCCGUCUGGCCUUCGGGCCGGCCGGAAAAGGGUAGCUUCGGCCUCCGGUCGGGGACGAGCCCGCGGCGGAUUAGCUUGUUGGUGAGGUAAAGGCUCACCAAGGCGACGAUCCGUAGCUGGUCUGAGAGGACGAUCAGCCACACUGGGACUGAGACACGGCCCAGACUCCUACGGGAGGCAGCAGUAGGGAAUCUUGCGCAAUGGGCGAAAGCCUGACGCAGCGACGCCGCGUGAGGGAAGAAGGCCUUCGGGUUGUAAACCUCUUUCAGCAGGGACGAAGCGAAAGUGACGGUACCUGCAGAAGAAGCGCCGGCUAACUACGUGCCAGCAGCCGC